UACGAAGGGGGCUAGCGUUGCUCGGAAUCACUGGGCGUAAAGGGCGCGUAGGCGGCCUUCUAAGUCGAACGUGAAAUCCCCGGGCUCAACCCGGGAACUGCGUCCGAUACUGGAAGGCUUGAAUCCGGGAGAGGGAUGCGGAAUUCCAGGUGUAGCGGUGAAAUGCGUAGAUAUCUGGAGGAACACCGGUGGCGAAGGCGGCAUUCUGGACCGGUAUUGACGCUGAGGCGCGAAAGCCAGGGGAGCAAACGGGG
rnacentral:rRNA from 1 species